CCUGGGGUGUCCGAGUUUUCUCGGUCUGAGAUUAUACCCAUAGAACCUGAUGCAGAUAAUGCUGCCGUAGGGAUAUGAC
rnacentral:ncRNA from 1 species